ACUGAUACUCAGAGCCCUCUGCCU
rnacentral:siRNA from 1 species